UACGGGGGGGGCAAGCGUUGUUCGGAAUUACUGGGCGUAAAGGGCUCGUAGGUGGCCAACUAAGUCAGACGUGAAAUCCCUCGGCUUAACCGGGGAACUGCGUCUGAUACUGGAUGGCUUGAGUUCGGGAGAGGGAUGCGGAAUUCCAGGUGUAGCGGUGAAAUGCGUAGAGAUCGGGAGGAAUACCGGUGGCGAAAGCGACUCUCUGGACGGCAACUGACGCUGAGGCACGAAAGCGUGGGGAGCAAACAGG
rnacentral:rRNA from 1 species